GAUUUGGUGAGUUUUUGGGGUUUUUUUAAGAUAGUCAGUCGAUUUGGUGAUUAACAGUAAUCCACGGAACCGAACAAAGAACAAGGCCGUUGAACCCACGCAAAAAUCUACAGAGCAAACCAAACCCAGAAAAAAAAAAAAAACAAGCCAGGGAAGUGAUUCUCUGCCUUUUUUGACGAUGAGAGAUGAAGAGACACCGAAGGGAUGACGCCAUAAACAUCAAAUGUGGAAGCAACAACGUUGGAAACAACGAAAGCAGAGCCCUCCUCCAGCUCCGUUUGCCUUUGUUCUUCUCGUUUUGGUUUCUCGUGUUCUUGUUCUACUCUGAGCUCGGCCUUACCCGUGGUAAUGGAGGGAACUUUCUUGCUGGAAAUAAAAACAUGACUAAUUCCAGUGUUUGUGAUAAUAAGCCAUGUAACUCUGAGGGUUCAGAAUUUGGAGACGGGAACAAGAGUGAUUAUGUAAAUGGGGUGGUGUUAAAAUUUAAUGUGUCCGUAGCUAGUAAUGGCUCUGAUGUGCAUGAUUAUCUCCAUACAAAUUCCGGGUACUCGCUUCGGGGAACCAGUGAAUUGGAGGAAGCCGUAUGGAUUUUUUUAGGUCACCCAACAUUAGUGUGUGGGAUACAACCUCAAGAACAACGAAAGCAAAAGGCAGUAGAGCAACUAAAGAUUGGGAAAAAUCAUUCAUCUUACCUCAAUCUGGAUGAGUUUCGGAAUAUUACAAAGCAAAAGAGCGCUGUGGUUGCAACAACUCGGCUUGACAAUAUCACCCACCGGCUUGAGCCUGAUGGGACGGAAUACAACUAUGCCUCUGCAGCUAAGGGUGCAAAGGUCGUGGCUCAUAAUAAGGAAGCAAAGGGUGCUAGCAACAUAUUGGGGAAGGAUCAUGAUAAAUAUCUGAGGAACCCUUGUUCUGUUGGGGGAAAGUUUGUUGUUAUUGAGCUGGCAGAAGAAACUUUGGUUGAUGCGGUUAAAAUUGCUAAUUUUGAACAUUAUUCUUCUAACUUCAAGGAAUUUGAGUUGUCUGGGAGUUUGGUUUAUCCAACUGAGUCAUGGUCCCCGAUAGGAAAAUUUGUUGCUGCAAAUGUCAAACAUACUCAAACCUUUAAGCUGCCUGAACCCAAAUGGGUUAGGUACUUGAAAUUGAAUUUAUUUAGUCACUAUGGUUCGGAAUUUUAUUGUACAUUGAGUGUUGUUGAGGUAUAUGGCAUUGAUGCAAUUGAGCGGAUGCUUGAAGAUUUCAUUGUGGCUGCUGGGGAGCCUGCAACUAAUAAAUUGCCUCAUCUUAAUUCAACAGCAAUGCCUUCCUUAUUAUUGGAUCCAGGUUCUGGUAACAAGAAAAUGGUUGGCGAAGUUCAAAGUGUGAUUGAGGCUGCCAGUAAGGGUAUAGAAGGCAUAAAUGAAGGACAAAAGCCUAACACAGAUGCAUUGAAGAAUCCAACUGGACACAUUCCUGAUCCUGUAACUGGAGUUAGACAACCAUCAAAUGGUAGAAUACAUGCUGAUGCUGUUCUAAAGAUCUUGAUGCAGAAGGUCAGGUCACUUGAGAUAAAUUUAUCAGUUCUGGAGGAGUACAUCAAAGAGCUAAACCGAAGAGAAGGGGAUCUACUUCCUGAGCUUGAAAAAGAGCUAUCUAGAUAUUCGAUGCUUUUAGAGAAAAGCAAAGGAGAUGUCAAGGAUCUCUUGGAAUGGAAGGAAAUAAUGGAGAAAGGAGUUACUGAUAUUGAGUCGUGGAAAACUAUUGUCUCAUCCCGCAUGGAUGCAUUGGCUAGAGAAAACAGCAUGCUGAGAUUAGACAUUGAAAAGAUUGUUAAAGAUCAAGUAAGUCUGGAAAAUGAAGAGAUUGCUUUGCUAUUAGUGAGUGUUUGCUUUGGAUUACUUGCAAUCAUCAAGUUGGUUUCUGAACGAGUCUUGAUCAAUUAUGGAGCCUCUCCAUCUGGUGAAGUACGCCGGGCAAGUAGAGGUUGGAUAUUGAUGCUUGUUAGCACUGGUAUGACUAUAUUCAUUACCUUACUCUGUAACUAGUCUCCUCAACGCAGCUCUUGAGAACUGGACUGGAUAUCUCUUUAGCUUUCCUCUUGUAAUUAUCUUCCAUUAGUGUAGGAGUUGAAGCAGAAAAAACCCUUUAGCUUAUACGAUAAAACUUCUCUAGUUUCCCCCCCUUGUACUGCCAAUUACGGUAGUGUUAGUUUAAUCGAAUUUAACUUGUGAAGAUCAAAUUCCUUUUUCUCUAGACCACUGCGUCCAUGAAUCAUAAUAUGUUUUCUUAUGCAGCUUGUGCUCAUGUAAGAGCACUAAGAAAACAUGUAAGGCUUCUUCUUCUUUUUCUGUUUCUCCAUCUCUCUCCCCCUUCAAGCUGGUGCUGGAUGCAGGGAUGGUAGUAUUUCUUGUAAACAGGCCUCUGAAUGACUAUUGUCGAAGGCUUAUUGAUGGAGGGAGAGACAGAAGACUCAUUUGUAAACGCUAGGGACUGGUAUCCAUCACAGAGAAGGGCUGAGAGGACCCGCCGUAAGGAGGAAUUCGCGGGCGGACCGACAUGUUUGCCAUUUACAGUGCAGAGAAAAAACUGAAUGAGAAAAUAAGAUUGUGAGUGCUCUCAAGUUGCGUUUGAUAGGGGUGAAAAAUGAUGGUGAAAUUCGAAUUUCAUCUAAAUUUUAAGAAAUUUUAUCAAACAUAUUUUCAAUUUCAUGAAAUUCGAAUUCCAUCUUAGUUCAAAAAAUAAAAAUUUUCUUGAAAUCAAGCAAUUAAAAUUUCUAAGAAUUGGGAUGAGAAUUGAAAUUCUAUAGAAUUAGAAUUUCAUUCCUAUUUUUCACUUCUAUCAACGCACUCUUAUAUUUCCAUUUCAUUUCAUGCCAUUCAAUUUUGUCCCUAGUCCGUUGCUACUGUGAACAUGGAUAUGCUCUGUUCCUUGUGGGUUGCUGUUAUGUUCAUUCAUUUGCUUGUUUUGACAGAAACCAUGCUCUGGGUGACCAGUUGCUUUACUAAAUUAAGGUUGCUGGUCAAUCCUGCAGGCUUUGCCCACCUCCUUGAAUUGAAAUUAAAAGCAAGCCUGACUAUAACACUAUUAAGCCAGUUCUCUCUUGACACGUGCUUUGAAGAGCAAGUUUUCAAGAGUCUGUUAUCCGCUCAACAGCCAGAAGCAUUUUAGUAUUGAAAUAAUGUUAUUUUAAACAAAAGUCAAUGGAUGUUUUGAUUUAAAUAACAAGUCCACGUCAAAAUUUUGCUGCUCUUAGUGGGGUGGGUGACAUAAAUUUUAGCUCGUUAAGUAUUUCAUUUUGCUGUAGAUAGGAAGACGAAAAGUAUUCAUUGACUAGCAAUUUUAUUUAUUUAUUUUUUUUACAACAACAAUAAUAUAUUUAGCUUUUAUCCCAUUAUAUAAAGUUAGUUACGUGAAUUUUAGACUUC